rnacentral:rRNA from 1 species
AACGUAGGUGGCAAGCGUUAUCCGGAUUUACUGGGCGUAAAGCGCGUGUAGGCGGGUCUUUAAGUCAGGGGGGAAAUGCCAAGGCUCAACCUUGGAACUGCCUUUGAUACUGGAGACCUUGAGUCCGGGAGAGGUGAGUGGAAUUGCGAGUGUAGAGGUGAAAUUCGUAGAUAUUCGCAAGAACACCAGUGGCGAAGGCGGCUCUCUGGGACGGUACUGACGCUGAGACGCGAAAGCGUGGGGAGCGAACAGG